AAGUCGUAACAAGGUUUCCGUAGGUGAACCUGCGGAAGGAUCAUUAUUGAUGUUGGAGAUGAGUGAUUGUGAAUUGGUGUUUGCUGGGGGUGGUUGAUUGAUUACUGGGGUAAUUGAUUGAUUACCGGGGGGCAGACACAAGUAACAAGAACGAUUAUGGGAGAAAAAGAGUGUGCAAGUACAGGGGUGCAGCAAUGCACAACAACGUACAAAGCACAAACAUAACAACAAUAAUACAACUUUUAACAAUGGAUCUCUAGGCUCUU
rnacentral:misc_RNA from 1 species